CUGGCGGCAGGCCUAACACAUGCAAGUCGAACGAACUCUUCGGAGUUAGUGGCGGACGGGUGAGUAACACGUGGGAACGUGCCUUUAGGUUCGGAAUAACUCAGGGAAACUUGUGCUAAUACCGAAUGUGCCCUUCGGGGGAAAGAUUUAUCGCCUUUAGAGCGGCCCGCGUCUGAUUAGCUAGUUGGUGAGGUAAUGGCUCACCAAGGCGACGAUCAGUAGCUGGUCUGAGAGGAUGAUCAGCCACAUUGGGACUGAGACACGGCCCAAACUCCUACGGGAGGCAGCAGUGGGGAAUCUUGCGCAAUGGGCGAAAGCCUGACGCAGCCAUGCCGCGUGAAUGAUGAAGGUCUUAGGAUUGUAAAAUUCUUUCACCGGGGACGAUAAUGACGGUACCCGGAGAAGAAGCCCCGGCUAACUUCGUGCCAGCAGCCGCGGUAAUACGAAGGGGGCUAGCGUUGCUCGGAAUUACUGGGCGUAAAGGGAGCGUAGGCGGACAUUUAAGUCAGGGGUGAAAUCCCGGGGCUCAACCUCGGAAUUGCCUUUGAUACUGGGUGUCUUGAGUAUGAGAGAGGUAUGUGGAACUCCGAGUGUAGAGGUGAAAUUCGUAGAUAUUCGGAAGAACACCAGUGGCGAAGGCGACAUACUGGCUCAUUACUGACGCUGAGGCUCGAAAGCGUGGGGAGCAAACAGGAUUAGAUACCCUGGUAGUCCACGCCGUAAACGAUGAUUGCUAGUUGUCGGGAUGC
rnacentral:rRNA from 1 species